CAGCUCUCCGAGUGGUGUGGAUGUUUAUUGGGCCUAAAGCAUCCGUAGCUGGCUAAGUUAGUCCCUUGUUAAAUCCACCGAAUCAAUCGUUGGAUAGCGGGGGAUACUGCUUGGCUAGGGGACGAGAGAGGCAGACGGUAUUUCCGGGGUAGGGGUGAAAUCCUAUAAUCCCGGGAAGACCACCAGUGGCGAAGGCUGUCUGCUAGAACGCGCCCGACGGUGAGGGAUGAAAGCUGGGGGAGCGAACCGGAUUAGAUACCCGUGUAGUCC
rnacentral:rRNA from 1 species